AUUCCAGCUCCAAUAGCGUAUAUUAAAGUUGUUGCAGUUAAAAAGCUCGUAGUUGUAUGUCUGGCGCUGUGUUGCGGUCCACCGCAAGGUGAGCACUGCGAUGUGGUGUCUUCCUCUCGAAGGUGUUGUGUGCUCUUAGUUGAGUGUGCGAUUUUUUUGGGAUCUUUACUUUGAAAAAAUUAGAGUGUUCAAAGCAGGCGAUUGCUUGAAUAUAUUAGCAUGGAAUAAUGGAAUAGGACUUUGGUUCUAUUUUGUUGGUUUCUAGGACCGAGGUAAUGAUUAAUAGGGGUAGUUGGGGGCAUUCGUAUUUAAUUGUCAGAGGUGAAAUUCUUGGAUUUAUGAAAGACGAACUUCUGCGAAAGCAUUUGCCAAGGAUGUUUUCAUUG
rnacentral:rRNA from 1 species